rnacentral:rRNA from 1 species
GUCAGCUCGUGUCGUGAGAUGUUGGGUUAAGUCCGUAACGAGCGCAACCCUUGUCCUUAGUUACCAGCACGUUAUGGUGGGCACUCUAAGGAGACUGCCGGUGACAACCGGAGGAAGGUGGGGAUGACGUCAAGUCAUCAUGGCCCUUACGGCCUGGGCUACACACGUGCUACAAUGGUCGGUACAAAGGGUUGCCAAGCCGCGAGGUGGAGCUAAUCCCAUAAAACCGAUCGUAGUCCGGAUCGCAGUCUGCAACUCGACUGCGUGAAGUCGGAAUCGCUAGUAAUCGUGAAUCAGAAUGUCACGGUGAAUACGUUCCCGGGCCUU